UGCAAAGCAUUUUCAUUCAGGAGCAGCACGAGGUCUUGUGUCCUUGUCCCUUGCUUCUAAACAAGGAGCUUUCCAAAGUCUCCUGUCCCAAGCAUGGUGCCUGCACCCGUGUCACCUGCUACUGGUUAUGUCCCUCAAGCCACUGUUCCACCUUCAGCUCAGCAUGCCCUAGGAGGUCUUUGGAUGGCUAACACGGGUCUGAAAUUCCUCCCACUUUCCUAUGCUUAUAAAGUGAUGCUUAAAUGCUGCAGACGAUUAGGAGUUUAGGCUCCACAGCUAGGCACAUUGUCUAGCCGUCUUCUCAGCUCUGCAAGCGCAUCCGCAGCUCAGCUUCAGGCAAAUUCAACUUCACAUCCGCAAAGUGUUGCUGUGAUUUUUAAGUGACAUACAUAUUCUAGAUAUACACCAUCUGCAAUAUCCGUAUGUAUGUUUCCCAUAGCACCUGACACCUAAUUCACAAUCGCUACAUGUUAGUGUUGUCAUCAGAUCAACAGAAAUUGAUAUCCUAGGCCUCCGUUGGGCCGUCUCAGACGCUCAGAGACUGCCCUUUCCUCCCCCCACGUCCACAUUUGCUUAUCCUAAUGAACCUCCCAUGAGUGUUUUCUGUUUUCUGAGGUCUAAAAGUACUCCUGGCUUUCAGCUCAGGGUGGAGCCCAGGGAGAGACUGAGCCCUGCUAGAACAAAGAAUCACUGGAGGAAGAGGACAUGCCUGCCCAGAGCCUGUGAUGCUCUGCGUCUACGAACCCUGGAGUUCUAUGCUCCCUACAUGGAUCCCAAGGAUCAUCCUCCUAAAGAUGAGCUAUGCUGCCAGUGGGUGUCAGGCUGAAGGCCACAUACCACACUGAUAGACAUUUCUGCGUUUGUCAGAAAUAAACAGAAGGACCAGUGGACUUGGGAAUGCAAGAGAAACAGAGAAAAGUGUGUACAGAAAGCCUUAAACGAUUCCUCAGGAACGUGGAGCACAGUUUCCAGUGUGUGCCUCUGGCCCGACUCUCCAGUGUCCCUGUCCCUGAGCAGCCCGGAUGCAGUGAGAGUCUUACUGCACACUAAGCUCCCAUCGUCUUACUUGUCCUGCCAUCCCACCUCCUUCUCUGCCUAGAAUGAUGACCCCAUUCCUUUCUUGGUGAAUGCUGUGCUUAGAGAAGUAAUAAGGUUACUAACUCCACUUCUCUUCUCUAUCCUGAAGUUGGCGGGCCCAACUUCAGGGAGGGAAUUGGAUGCUGUAAGAAGAUAAUAGCUCUCUUCAGAAAACACUUCAAUCUGAACUGGACCCCUCUCUUCUUUGAGGUUCAUCUGUGAGAUUUAGCAGACUGUACUUUAAUGCUCCACCCCCAGGAAAGAUCCCCACUGUGGCCAUCCUAAGUGCUCAACCAUCAGGUCCUCCUCUUCUGUUUUGUUUCACCAUGCCAGGCAUCAAACCCAGGGUCUCUUACAUGCCAGACAAGCACUGUCCCACUGAACUACAGCCCUAGACUCCACCAUGAUUUCACUUGUCACAGGAUAACAUGGGGCAAGGGAACAGGACCCUUUUUAUUGGUUCCGUUCAAGUAUUCUGCACACAUCUCAUCACACCGAGCAAGCAGCCGGGAUUAGCACCGCCUUCACCGAUGUGGAACCAGAGGCUCAGGGAAAUGAAAGGCCCGGACCACAAUGUUGCAGCAUACCAGAGGUGGCCUGGGACUAGAGCCCAGGGACCACACACCUGCUUGGAAGCACUCAUUUUGUCUACCACUCGAAUGUAGCCAUGUGUGCCUCUCAUUAAGGGCUGAUUCCUCCCAAAAGGAGCCUAAGAAUAAAGUUAGAUACAAUGUCAUAAUGUCGGAGCCAGGUGAGCUGGUCAGAAAUAUGGAGUAGGCUGAUGGGGAAGGAAGU